UCUAGAAUCUACAACAAACUCAAACAAAUUAGCAAAAAAACAAACAAUCCCAUCAAAAAGUGGGCUAAGGACAUGAAUAUACGAUUCUCAAAUGAAGAUACACAAAUGGAGGCAAACAUA